UAUAGAUUCAUGGUACUUCGAGGUAAGC
rnacentral:piRNA from 1 species